GCUGGCUGGCUUAGGGGACCGGCUGUAACCCUACUUUGGGGGGCUUAGGUGGUGAACGACGUAUCGUGUGGGGAACACUGCUGGGUGGUCCUGAGUUCAGGCGUUGCCUCAACAUGCCGAUUGUCGACAAGCGCCGAUAUGGGUAACCCAUCGGUGCUGGUCGUUAGAGAGGGGCCCACCAGGCCAGGCAGGAAACUGAGCAACCCAUAGCCCCCGCAGUCUUCAGUGUUGAGAUCACAGUGCUGUCAGGCUGCCACGUAGCCCACAUGAGAAAUUGAACGCCACCUUUU
rfam:Hypsibius dujardini strain Z151 scaffold0024, whole genome shotgun sequence.